rnacentral:rRNA from 1 species
CCUACGGGAGGCAGCAGUGAGGAAUAUUGGUCAAUGGGCGAGAGCCUGAACCAGCCAAGUCGCGUGAGGGAGUACUGCCCUAUGGGUUGUAAACCUCUUUUGUCGGGGAGCAAAAGCCGGACGUGUCCGGCUGUGAGAGUACCCGAAGAAAAAGCAUCGGCUAACUCCGUGCCAGCAGCCGCGGUAAUACGGAGGAUGCGAGCGUUAUCCGGUUUUAUUGGGUUUAAAGGGUGCGCAGGCGGAUUUUUAAGUCAGCGGUAAAAUCGUGGGGCUCAACCCCAUCCAGCCGUUGAAACUGGGGAUCUAGAGUGUGCGAGAGGUAUGCGGAAUGCGUGGUGUAGCGGUGAAAUGCAUAGAUAUCACGCAGAACCCCGAUUGCGAAGGCAGCAUACCGGUGCACAACUGACGCUCAGGCACGAAAGCGUGGGUAUCGAACAGGAUUAGAUACCCUUGUAGUC